CCUGUGCCUUCUUUUUGCGUUUGCAGUUAACAAGAUGCAAACAGCUAUGUUCAUUUGCUCUGCCACUUUCUGACUUUAUGGCCCUAUUUCUGUCUCCAAGUCUCACUUUCCUCCUUUGUACAGCAACAGUAAAGCACUUCCCACAAAGCUGAAGAUUGAAGCUCUCAGAGGCACUGUAGAAGAGAAGAGGAGGAGGAAGAUAUGCAUUGUGUCCUCACUCUUGAGAGGCAUCUGCCAGGUUUCUUCUCCAGGUGGUUUGACUGUGUUCCACAAAGUUCAUGUAUUGGAAGAUUAAUCCCUGAUGCACAGUGUUGGGGGAUAGGUCCUAAUAAGAGACAGAUGAUCCAAGAGUGAGUGCCUCAAAGGAACAUGACAGAGUUGAUGGAAACUGCACUGAGAACAAGAUGAGGAAGAAGCAGACUGACAUUCAAUGUUUAAGGCACCAUCUUGAGAACACACAGUGGCCCCCACCAGAUGCCAGCACCUUGAUCGUGAGCAUCCCAGCCUCCAGAACGGUGAGGAAUAAAUUUCUGUCCUCUAAAAACUACCCUGUCAGUGGCAUCGUGUGAUAGCACUACAGCAUGACUAAGACACAAGCAAAAACCCACUUGCAUCAGUGAAUGUUUGUCCACCAUGGCUUCUUCCUAUUUUGGCCCAUGAGUUUUUGAG